CUACGGGGCGCAGCAGUCGGGAAUAUUGCGCAAUGGAGGAAACUCUGACGCAGUGACGCCGCGUAUGGGAAGAAGGUUUUCGGAUUGUAAACUAUUGUCGUUAGGGAAGAUAAAAGACAGUACCUAAGGAGGAAGCUCCGGCUAACUACGUGCCAGCAGCCGCGGUAAUACGUAGGGAGCAAGCGUUAUCCGGAUUUAUUGGGUGUAAAGGGUGCGUAGACGGGAAGACAAGUUAGUUGUGAAAUCCCUCGGCUUAACUGAGGAACUGCAACUAAAACUAUUUUUCUUGAGUGUUGGAGAGGAAAGUGGAAUUCCUAGUGUAGCGGUGAAAUGCGUAGAUAUUAGGAGGAACACCGGUGGCGAAGGCGACUUUCUGGACAAUAACUGACGUUGAGGCACGAAAGUGUGGGGAGCAAACAGGAUUAGAUACCCUAGUAGUC
rnacentral:rRNA from 1 species